AUUUGACCAGAUAUAGUAUAAAGAUUAGACAAAUAACUCAAUGAAAAACAACAUAAUGCUCAAUAUAUGGCAGCUGUAGGAAAUUUGUCAGGAGCAUCAUCUGAUCUUUGUGCUCCAGAAUGUUGUUUAUGCACAAUUUCUGGACUAACUUUUAGCCUGAUGGGUCACUGAAACUUAAGCUUGUCUUUCCUUAUUCAGGCAGACAAGGAUCUAUGCAUGACUAGAAAAUAAACCAGCGGUGAAACCAAAAUGAACACUGUGUCUUUCGACUGUGAUGUUGUUCAGCCGUUCUGCCACUCAGCAAAAAGAGCAUGUCAGGUGGAUUUAGAUCUAUAGAGCUGUUACAUUCUAUAUCCAGUAACAAACAUCAGAUAUCAAUACAUUUAAAAGUUAGCUUUCAGUUUUUAUAAACAAACACAUGUUUGUUAAGUGGACCUUUGUUUAACUAUGUACUGAAGCCGUAGGGAGAUAUGCGGUUGAUCAGGUUUGUGUGCCUCUGCUCAUUUCCUUAAAAGUGUUCCUCAUCAUUCCUUAAAAAUGCUGAAUGAAAAAGACAGGAGGUUAGAAAUACUCACCCAUCUCACCGCAACAGCAGUGUUUCCUUGCCUUAGGUGUCGGUAUGUACUGUAAUAUUUUUAAAGAUGACAUUGGAUGUUUACAUUUUAUUCUUUAUUAUUUGUUGAGUAUCUAAUAGUAGACGUUUACUUACUACACAGAAGGUAUUUAAAUCAAGUUUCUUACAUUCUUGCAUUAUUGUCUCUUAAUUGAUAAUAACUUGAUCUUUGACUUGUACUGCUAUAAAUUGAAGGUAAGUGUUUAAAUGUUAUUUAAAUAUUAUACAGUAUAAACUGUUAUAAAAGAGUAUCACAUGUGGCUGUUGUUCCUGCAGAGAACUUGAUAAUUCAUCAUCUCUCAUCAUCUCUCAUCAUGAUGCUGCUUCUUCAUGUGCUGAUGCUGUACUCAGCCUACAAGUUUGAAGGGAUAAUGGGCUGCACAAGAGAAAACAACUGGUACAUUGAACCUCAAGUUGGUUGCAUCACACCUGUGAAUUUGCGGUGAAGGUAGUCCACAUCGGUGAUGAAACUAUUGUAUGGCAGCAGAAAGCCGACACCAGCCAACAGCAUGGCAAAGUAGAUGCCAUGCAGUGAUCAUCAGGAAUGGAUUCCUCUGAGUCUGAAAACAAGACAUGAGCUUAUAUGAAUAGCAACCAGAAUGACAGAAAAUAUGCAGCUAAGGCCUGUUACCUAUAAAUACAAAUCAGCUCUUUUGUGUUGUGCAUGAUGGUGUCUUACACAAAUGCAGGGUUAUCCAAAAUAGGAUUUGCAAACGCCAGGGGUGUUGUAAGGAAACUGCAUGGGGUUUGUGACUUGAAAAAAAAAGCAAAUAAUGCGAAGAAUAAAAUAAAAUAAAUUAUUUUAAAAUUCAAACAACUGAAAUAAAAGUGACCAAAAUGUUUUUAAUAUUUUUAUUGUUUAUUAUAAAUAUUACAAACCAACAUUGGAGAACCAUGAAUGUAUGAGCUAUUGAAUAAUUUAAAUAUUCACUUAAAAUCUCAGAAAGAACUUCAAUUACAUAAUUGAUGUCAAAGGGGUUCGGCUGACAAACAUUUUGGGAAUCCUUGGGAAUUGAAUUUUGGGAAAUUAAA
rnacentral:lncRNA from 1 species